UCCCAGACUCCUACGGGAGGCAGCAGUGGGGGAUAUUGCACAAUGGGGGGAACCCUGAUGCAGCGACGCCGCGUGGGUGAAGAAGCGCCUCGGCGCGUAAAGCCCUGUCAGCAGGGAAGAAAAUGACGGUACCUGAAGAAGAAGCCCCGGCUAACUACGUGCCAGCAGCCGCGGUAAUACGUAGGGGGCAAGCGUUAUCCGGAUUUACUGGGUGUAAAGGGAGCGUAGACGGCAAUACAAGUCGGAAGUGAAAUACCCGGGCUCAACCUGGGAACUGCUUUGGAAACUGUAUGGCUGGAGUGCUGGAGAGGUAAGCGGAAUUCCUAGUGUAGCGGUGAAAUGCGUAGAUAUUAGGAGGAACACCAGUGGCGAAGGCGGCUUACUGGACAGUAACUGACGUUGAGGCUCGAAAGCGUGGGGAGCAAACAGGAUUAGAUACCCGCGUAA
rnacentral:rRNA from 1 species